CCAUAUCGUCCAUAUUACAUUCCAAGAACAUAUCAAAAGUACCAUACUCUUCUAGUUUCCACUUUUUUUAUAUAGUCUCAGCCAAAUUCAAGCUGUUAUCGCAGCACAUACACAUUGUUCAACUCAAUCUCACCCUCACAAUUUUAACUCUUUCUCAUUUCAAAACUCUCAAAGCCUUAAGUAUACAUCUGCAUCUGAGCAAACUCCCACUCGACCACAUCUUGCUCUUCUCAGCCUUCCACAACCUUUUUUGAUUCCACCAGAUAUUUCCAUUCAAGACACUAUAAUAAAAUCUAAUGACUGGUACAUACCAAAUAUACCGUAAAAAUAAAAAAUAUGGGAAGAUAAACUAAUUUACUCAAUAAAUAAGAAGUUCGUGCUAGUUUUAAAUCUGCCAACAAAAACGGAAAUUGUGUCAGUGUGAUUAAGUUCCCAGGUACCCUUAAAUCUCCAUAAAAAAAAACUCACAGAUAGUUUGUAUGUGUUGUUGGACUGCAAAUAUAACAACUUCAAUUGACAUGUAACUCCACUUUUUUUUUUUUUUUUCCUAAUAUCACACGAAUGAAACACCCAACUACAUCAAAAAAAGUAGAUGAUUAACACAGGUGACAGGAAUCCAUGUCCAUAACUGACAAUAAGUAUAGUGAGGAUGAGUCAAAUGUUAACCCAAAAAUGAUCUGUCUAAAUGAUCAAAUUCCUUAUAUAUGUUUUCUUCAUUCUUCUGUAAAAGUAUAUUCAAGAUUAUAAAUAGAACACACGUACCUGAAAUGAUUUCCAGCCUUUCAGAAAGCUCCAAUUCUUUGGCCAACAAUGACUUCAAAGAAUAUAUCAACAAUUGUAGCUCUAUAGAAGACUCAGAUGGUACAAACACAAAAGGUUGAAUCCUUACAUUUUCCCUUCAUGUGAAAACAAUCGAAGAAAAUGCAAUAAAAAACACAAAUGCUCUUCCGUCUAAAUGGGUCGACUACAUGAACCAUUUGAAACUCAGGAGUUAAAUUUAGUUUUUUAUUAGAAACACAGAGAAUGACCAAUGAAGGAAAAAAUUGAUACAACUAUAUGAAGAAAACUGCACAUUGGAAAUAAAAUAUAAUUACGUCAAA
rnacentral:lncRNA from 1 species